rnacentral:tRNA from 1 species
UGGGGUAUAGCCAAGUGGUAAGGCAGCGGAUUUUGAUUCCGUCAUUCCCUAGGUUCGAAUCCUAGUACCCCAGCCA